rnacentral:rRNA from 1 species
GUUAUAGGGACAAGCGAAUAAGUGCACAUGGUGGAUGCCUUGGCGAUUACAGGCGAUGAAGGACGUAGUAGCUUGCGAUAAGCUGCGGGGAGCUAGCAAACAAGCUUUGAUCCGCAGAUUUCCGAAUGGGGAAACCCGGCCUUUUAGGUCAUUGCAUACUGAAUACAUAGGUAUGCAAAGCGAACGCGGCGAACUGAAACAUCUAAGUAGCUGCAGGAAAAUAAAUCAACCGAGAUUCCCAAAGUAGUGGCGAGCGAAAUGGGAUGAGCCUG